rnacentral:rRNA from 1 species
ACGAACGCUGGCGGCAUGCCUCAUGCMAGCAAGUCGAACGAGACUCUUUGGGGUCUAGUGGGGCACGGGUGGGUAGCGCGUGGGAAUUUGCCCUUGGGUUCGGAAUAACAUUUGGAAACGACUGGUAAUACCGGAUGAUGUCGAUAAGUCCAAAGAUUUAUCGCCUGAGGAUGAGCCCGCGUUGGAUUAGCUASGUGGUGGGRUAAAGGCCUACC